AUUUAUAACAAAUUUUGGUGCCGUGACUCGGAUCGAGAUUUUGGAGGGGCUCUCUGCCUGCGGGGAUGCACGCCCCACCAUUUUGGAGGGCCCGGUUGACCCCUUAAAUUUUGUGCACAAAGUCCGGACGAAGACGCAGGACGCGUUCAGCCCGGGGACUGGGUACUGGUCCGAAGUUGGAAGGAAAAUCCGAUAACACCCAAGUGGGAAGGACCUUACCAGGUGUUGCUUACAACAGACACAGCAGUACGCACUGUGGAAAAAGGGUGGACUCACGCAAGCCGAAUCAAGGGACCAGUAGAUCCGUCUAAAUUCACC